CAUAACUGUUAGCUAUAUAACUACAUACAGAUUAUGCAGAUACAGAAUAUUUUAUUGUGUUAUAAAUAACUUAUACUGUAAAUCAGUGAUCUAAGAGGGACAUGUAAUUAUCUAAGUGUGUCAAUGGAUUAUACUCAUAACCCAGGAUUAUCAGUCCCUAUUAUGUUAUUCCAGUACUUCAGUACUAUCAGUCCCUAUUGUAUUAUAUUAGUAGUUCAGUACUCUCUGUCCCUAUUAUGUUAUAUUUGUACUUCAGUACUAUCAGUCCCUAUUGUAUUAUAUUUGUACUUCAGUACUAUCAGUCCCUAUUGCAUAAUAUUAGUAGUUCAGUAAUGUCUGACUCUAUUGUAUUAUACUCGUACUUCAGUACUAUCAGUCCCUAUUCUGCCCUGCAAAGGCAAAACUCAGUAACAACGAAACUGGUCAAAGAUCUUUGAUCUGUUGUAAUGGCCAAGUAUAUUACCUGAUUAAUGUGGUAUUUAGUUUCCUGACACAAUAACAAUAAUAAAACAGUUGACAGUUGGUUAUCAGAAAUUGCUAUCUGUCUAUGCAGAAAAAUACUUUUAAGUCAGAUUUGGAAGAUUUGCCAUUGUUGGGUAUUAUUGUAUUAUACUAGCACUUCAGUAUUCAGGGUGGGACUGAGAGUGCUCUGUGUGUUAAGGUGCCUGCCCACUCUUGUGUGAUGGAGGUUUUUGUAUGGUGACUUAACCAUUAUGAAUCGUUGUGGUGGACUUUUGGAAGCGGAACAAAACUAGUGCUGAAAACUGGUCCCUCUAUCAGACCCACAGUGUCUCUGCUCCCCCCGUCCUCUGAGCAGCUCUUCGGGGGCUCGGCCACACUGUCCUGCCUGCUGAGUGGCUACUCCCCCCAGGGGGCGAUGGUGAGCUGGGAGGUGGAUGGGGAGGAGGUGCAGGAUGGGGUCCUGACCUCCACAGAAGAAGAGAAGGGCGGCCACUACAGCCGCAGCAGCACCCUGACCCUGAGCAAGGCACGCUGGGAAGAGGGAGAGGUGUACACUUGCAGGGUCGCCCAUGAUGACACCAGUGAUUCGGCCGCCUUCCGGAAAAGCCACUGUAGUGUCUAGAGACCGGAGAAGCCAUUGUAGGGGGCUAGAGAGUCCCCACAUGGUGCUGGUGAAGGAAAUAUUACUGUUUUACAGCUGAAUGCUAAAGUAUAGUAGUGAAUCAUUUCAGGAGUGAUGUGCUAAAUGAAGUAUUUUGUGAUUAAGUUGUAAAGGUCAUCUUGCUUCUGAGUUCAAAUAAAGCUUGUUUUAAUUGAAAUAUAA